rnacentral:rRNA from 1 species
AGUGAACGCUGGCGGUAGGCCUAACACAUGCAAGUCGAACGGCAGCACAGUAAGAGCUUGCUCUUACGGGUGGCGAGUGGCGGACGGGUGAGGAAUACAUCGGAAUCUACUUUUUCGUGGGGGAUCACGUAGGGAAACUUACGCUAAUACCGCAUAUGACCUACGGGUGAAAGCAGGGGAUCUUCGGACCUUGCGCGAUUGAAUGAGCCGAUGUCGGAUUAGCUAGUUGGUGGGGUAAAGGCCCACCAAGGCGACGAUCCGUAGCUGGUCUGAGAGGAUGGUCGGCCACACGGGAACUGAGACACGGUCCAGACCCCUACGGGAGGCAGCAGUGGGGAAUGUUGGACAAUGGGCGCAAGCCUGAUCCAGCCAUACCGCGUGGGUGAAGGAGGCCUUCGGGUUGUAAAGCCCUUUUGUUGGGAAAGAAAAGCAGCAGGUUAAUACCCCGCUGUUCUGACGGUACCCAAAGAAUAAGCACCGGCUAACUUCGUG